AUGGCGUGGCUGCCGGAGCUAGACCCGGCCGACAUCACCCUUGGGUAUCCCAGUUUGAAGGAGGAUGGCACCCCCUUUGACCAGAAGGAUUUCGCCACUUGCGUGAAGGACAUACACCCUGUGGCCACUCUAAUCGGUAAUGACAUGGAUCUUACCAAAUACCAGCCAGGUUAUGACACCGAGAAUCAGAGAAUUCCAACACCAUGUUAUGAAGCAAUCAGCCUGAUCCCUCCCACUCGUAAGCAUACCUUCGCCCCUGACGUUGAUCUGGCCGGGUUAAUUGAUGAUGAAGCUGAAUUUGAAGCCUUGAGUGGCAUUGACUGGAAAUCAUCAACCUUCCAGGACAGGGAAACAGACGGAGGAGCGGAAAGGGAUGAACCGGAAGCUUCAGCCCAACAACACCUUUGA
rnacentral:rRNA from 1 species